AAGGUACUCAAGGGCACACAAUGGAUGCCUAGACGUAUAUUACCGACGAAGGACGUGGAAGACUGCGAAAAGUCUUGGGGAGCUGUCAUCAAGCUUUGAUCCAGGAAUAUCCGAAUGAGGAAACUCAGCACGAGUCAUGUCGUGUUACUUCUACCUGAAUAUAUAG
rnacentral:rRNA from 1 species